rnacentral:rRNA from 1 species
UACGAAGGGGGCUAGCGUUGCUCGGAAUCACUGGGCGUAAAGGGUGCGUAGGCGGGUCUUUAAGUCAGGGGUGAAAUCCUGGAGCUCAACUCCAGAACUGCCUUUGAUACUGAAGAUCUUGAGUUCGGGAGAGGUGAGUGGAACUGCGAGUGUAGAGGUGAAAUUCGUAGAUAUUCGCAAGAACACCAGUGGCGAAGGCGGCUCACUGGCCUGAUACUGACGCUGAGGCACGAAAGCGUGGGGAGCAAACAGG